rnacentral:sRNA from 1 species
UAUAUAUAUAUAUAUAUAUAUAGUCUCCCCCAAAUCUUCUUAAUCUUAACUAUUGUUAGUUUGAUAACCCUUUAAUCGGUAAUGACGAAGUUAUAACUGGAUUUUCUGCAGGUAGAUUAUGGUUAUGAUAGUGUGUUAGUUAGAGGAGAAUUGAGAAAAGACGAUGAAGGUUGUUAUGAACAUGUCUCCGCCUUAGAAAGUUUUACGAUGGCAGUUCGGGUGAGGGAGAUAGAUGGAUUUAAUAAGGUUGUUACUGCGGUAAAGGAAAGAUUGUCGUUACCAGAGAAAGACGAUGUCGAGCUAAGUUAUCAGUGGCCUCAAUGGAUGAUGGGACUCGACUGGAAACGAGCAAACCGAUAUACAUCCUUGAUGAUGAAGAUAUGACCCUAUUCAUGGCGAUAAGAGCUGAUCUUGAAGAUGUACAUCUGCGAGUAAAAAUGAUAAGGGGAGGCCUGGGUAAGAAUGUAAAUUUUUACAAGAGCCAUUUACAUUUGGGAGGAAUGACAGCAGAUGAGAUAUCUGAUAAUUACUGAAAUUCUACGGAAACUAGGUUAGUUUGGGAUAGAUAACCAGGUUGUUAACGCGGAAUGUUAGCUCCAGCGAUCUCCAACCAAGAGGGAACGAAACUGUUGAAUGACCGAGAAGAGUGAACCUAAAUGAAGGGAUAAGGAUAGAGGAACCGUUAAACGCAACACCUCUUAGAGCAUCGGUACCCAAGCAGUCCUUUACACAGAGAAAUAAAAGGCAACAACCAGCGAGAAAGGCAAAUGCCAAGUUACCGAGUCAAUAUUGUCUCAACCUGCAUUCAAGAAUGUUUUACCAUGUAACAACAUGUUUGAGGUGGAACAAGCUUCUACAGAAGCGGAAUUUGACGCUUUUAAAAGAACCUACGUCGCGGAAAUGUGGCGAGAUGUAUGUACUACAGAGAGGACUCUAGAAGGACAGCAAAUGGAGACAGUUGUGGCAAACGAGGGAACAAAGACAGCUAGAACAUUGAAUUGUGGGGUAACUAUGUCACAACAAACUCCCGUUGAAGACGAAAACCUAGCUGACACUUGCUGGCGCAUCCAUGGCAACACCACAAACCAAAAUCUUAAUGUUGUCGUCAUUAGACUCUUCGUUUGGAACACCGAGUUCCCCUUCUACCAGUUUUAAGACACCUAUUCCCAAAGAAUUCUCGAAAAUUAAAUCUUUGGGAGAGAUAUGAUGUCUCUCGGUUCUGACACGCUUACUGUUUAGCAUAUAUCGCACUUUAAUUUUGAUAGGCGGAUAGGGGUUAAUAGGUCAUUAUUUUGCUACAUAGACGAUCCAAAUAGUGUAGAUUUCAGUUAGUUAAAUAACGAGUCUUCUUUGGUCAUCGAGUAUAGAAACCCUUAUUUUAUUAUAUAAAAUAUGGUUUUCAAAGUUACUAACUCACAUGAUUGUGCCACAUGUCAAAUCAAAUGAUCAGAUGUUUACAUGUGUCAUUAAAGAUUUAACGUUUUUAUUCUUUAGAAAAAAUAGAAAAUCUAAAAAAUUAAACAAAUUUACAUAUACCAAUUUAUAUGUAUAUAUAUAUAUAUAAACAAUUUACUUUUAUUCAACAAAAGGAAAAUUAAUAAAGUUGUUUUACAUGUGUUAUUGGUCAUUUAAAUGUAGCACAUAUUUU